AGCGAACGCUGGCGGCAUGCUUAACACAUGCAAGUCGCACGGGCAGUAGCAAUACUGUCAGUGGCGACGGGUGAGUAACGCGUAGGAAUCUAUCCUUGAAUGGGGGACAACCGUGGGAAACUACGGCUAAUACCGCAUGAUGCCUGAGGGCCAAAGACGAAAGUCGUUUGAGGAGGAGCCUGCGUCUGAUUAGGUAGUUGGUGGGGUAAAGGCCUACCCAAGCCUACGAUCAGUAGCUGGUCUGAGAGGAUGAUCAGCCACAUUGGGACUGAGACACGGCCCAAACUCCUACGGGAGGCAGCAGUGGGGAAUAUUGGACAAUGGGCGCAAGCCUGAUCCAGCAAUGCCGCGUGGGUGAAGAAGGUCUUCGGAUUGUAAAGCCCUUUUGGCGGGGACGAUGAUGACGGUACCCGCAGAAUAAGCUCCGGCUAACUUCGUG
rnacentral:rRNA from 1 species